rnacentral:pre_miRNA from 15 species
UGGCCAGAAUCAGGUAGGCAGUGUACUGUUAGCUGGCUGUGUUGGGUCAAUUCAGCAGCCACGACUACCCUGCCACUUGCUUCUGGAUAA